rnacentral:misc_RNA from 1 species
GUAUUAUAUUUUAUUUUAAAAAGUUUCAGACAAAAAUUUGAAAUGUGAUUAAAAAACUCUGGGAGGGGCUUGGACCAAAAAACCCUUGCCGGUAAAAGCAAAAAGUAAAAAAGUCCCAAAAUCCCUCACUGCAAGAAAUACAGUAAGGAAAUAUACCUCCCAAAGUAUACUUUCAAUAGGUGCACAUAAGGUGAAUAUGGAUUAAUUGAAUCCAUACCAAUGGCGGUUCAAUUUUUAAUGAUCCUUCCGCAGGUUCACCUACGGAAA